GCCGGCUUUUCCUGUGUGUCUGCUCAAGUGUCUUUAAAGACAAUUCCAAAAAGGAGGCUUUAAAAAUGUUGACAGAAAGACGACAUUCUUGGCUCUGGCUAAGCGCCCGCCUUACCAGUAUCCUCAACUCUUGUCGCCUUCAUCCAUUUGUCCUGUGUUGAGUCCACGCUUAAAGCCCACAACAUCUCUCCAGCAUCACUGGUGGGACAGUGAGCAGUUCCUGAACUUUCUGUUCAUCAGAAAGAAAGCACUAAGCUUCUGCCU
rnacentral:lncRNA from 1 species